UGGGGAAUUUUGCGCAAUGGGCGAAAGCCUGACGCAGCGAUGCCGCGUGUACGAUGAAGGCCCUUGGGUCGUAAAGUACUGUCAACGGGGACGAAAGCCCAAGGUUUAAGAGAUAUUGGGUGUGACGGUACGCGUGGAGGAAGCACCGGCUAACUCUGUGGCAGGAGCCGCGGUAAUACAGAGGGUGCAAACGUUGCACGGAAUGACUGGGCGUAAAGCGCGCGCAGGUGGCCCGGCCAGUCGGCUGUGAAAUCCCCUGGCUCAACCAGGGCCGUGCAGUCGAUACUGUCGGGCUCGAGUCCCGGAGAGGGUGGUAGAAUUCCCAGUGUAGAGGUGAAAUUCGUAGAUAUUGGGAGGAAUACCGGUGGCGAAGGCGACCACCUGGACGGGUACUGACACUGAGGCGCGAAAGCGUGGGGAGCAAACAGGAUUAGAUACCCCCGUAGUCC
rnacentral:rRNA from 1 species